UGGGCGUAAGCGCGCGCAGGUGGUUUCUUAAGUCUGAUGUGAAAGCCCACGCCUCUACCGUGGAGGGUCAUUGGAAACUGGGAGACUUGAGUGCCUAAGAGGAAAGUGGAAUUCCAUGUGUAGCGGUGAAAUGCGUAGAGAUAUGGAGGAACACCAGUGGCGAAGGCUUCCUCCCGGUCUGUAACUGACACUGAGGCGCGAAAGCGUGGGGAGCAAAAAGGAUUACCUACCCUGUCCACCCCCCGCC
rnacentral:rRNA from 1 species